rnacentral:lncRNA from 12 species
UUUACUGAAAGAAAACCAUACUUACAGGAAAGUACACAGAUCCUAAGUGUAUAGUUUGAUGAAUUUUCACAAAGUAAACAUACCCACUAACUAGGAUCCAGAUUCCAAAACAAUAUUUCAUGCACCCCAGAAACCACUUCUAGUUACGACCCCCCAAGGUUAUCACUAUGCUAUGGAUUCAUUUGGCCUGGAGUUGCACUUCACAUAAAUGGAACCAUACAGUACGUGCCCUUCCAACUCGACUUCUUUCCCUCAACACAAUGUUGGUGAGACUCAUCAGAACAUUAGUGGUCAGACCUGACCUCUUCUCGUCACUGCCUAAUAGCUCCUGUUUGGGUGCAGCGCUGCUCGAUGUGUUCUCACGUUCAUGAACAGCUGAGUCGUAUCCAGUCUGGGCUCUUACAAAUACUACUGCUACAUCUUCUGGUGAACACUGGUACUAAUCUUCACUGGGGUGGGCCCAGGGAUGGAAUUAAUGGGGUCUUGAAUAUGUUUAUGAUCCAUGCAGUUGAUUUUUUUAAAAGAUUUUAUUUAUUCAUCAGAGACACCAAGAGAGAAGCAGAGACAUAGACAGGACUCGAUCCCAGAACCCCAGGAAUGCGACCUGAGCCAAAGUCCAGCCCCUAUUUAUUAACUUCCUCAUCAAAGGAAAUGAGAGGCUCAUCAGCAAGAGUUUGCAGUAGGAGUAACAGGUGGUUAACACGCGACAUGCAGGAUGCUGAGAUGACGUCCAGGAAGCGCCUUCCUUAUAUCGGAUGGAUUUCAACCCGAGGAGACGGCGGCAAGGCUACGGGAAGAAAGCAGAGCUUGCAAAGGUAGGCAAACCUUGCUCAAUCCCUUUCCAGCAAUGCUAUUUUUAAAGAUUUUUAAUUAAUUUAUUUAUUUUGAAAGAGGGAGAACGAGAGAGAAGGGGAGGGGCAGAGGGACUCCAUCCCAAUACCCCAGGAUCAUGACCUGGGCCGAAGGCAGACGCCUAACUGACUGAUCCAGCCAGGGGCCCCUCCCACAAUACUAUUUUAGAAAAGUUUCCUUAAUUUCUCUAAGAGCAGCAUUAAUACUUCAUAAGGGUUACUGUAAAGACUCCGUGACGUGAUAUAUGAAGCACCUGGGCCAGUAGAGAAGCGAGUAAUAAAGUUAUAACUUUGGAACA